rnacentral:rRNA from 1 species
UUUAAUAGAUUAUUUUAUUUAUUUUUUUUAAGACUUGAUGUAUUAAAUAUAAUAAAGAUAAAAAUUUAUAUUUAUUAUAGUAGAUUAGUAUUGUGAAAGAAUUUGUUUAAAUUUUUGAAAGAAAAAUAAUUUUGUACCUUGUGUCUCAGGGUUUUUUAAAUAAACAUUAUGAAUUUAAUUUUCUCGAAUUUAAAAGAGCUAUUUGCCUAUAAAUUUUAUUGUUGAAUAAAUAUUUAAAAUAGGUUUAUAGUAAUGAAAUGUUAUUCGUUUUUAAAUAUAUCUAGUUUAAAAAGAAAAAAGUUUAAUUUGUUUAUCUUAAUAUAAUUUUUUGUGUUUUUAAAAAAUUAUUAAGGGUAAGUUAUUAUUGAAGGGAUAAGCUUUUUUUAAGAUUCUCAUAAAUUUGAAAUUUUUAUUAAAUUAAUAGGAAUAGAAUUUUCUAUUUAUAAAAAAAUGUUAUAAUUGAUUUAAUUUAUAAUAAUAUUUUUAUAUGUUUUGAGUAUUUAUUUUUAUUUUAAUUUAAAUUGUUUAGAUUGAGUGAUAAUGAAAGAAUUAGUAUAAAUUUUUGUAUAAUUAUAAUUAUAAUAAAGGUUAAAUAAAGGAAUUCGGCAAAAAAUUUUUCACCUGUUUAUUAAAAACAUGUCUUUUUGAUGAUAAUUUAAAGUCUUGCCUGCCCACUGAAAUUUAAAUGGCCGCGGUAAUUUGACCGUGCAAAGGUAGCAUAAUCAAUAGUUUUUUAAUUGAAAGCUGGAAUGAAAGGUCGGAUGAGAAAAUAACUGUCUCUAUUUAAUUUAAUUAGAAUUUUAUUUUUAAGUAAAAAAGCUUAAAUAAUUUUUAAAGACGAGAAGACCCUAUAGAGUUUAAUAUUUAAGUAUUAAAUUUAAAUUGGGAUUAUGAAGGAUUUAUUAUUAAUAAUAUUUGGUUGGGGUGACUUAAAAACUUAAUAAACUUUUUUAAUUGUUUUCAUUUAUUUAUGAUUAAUUGAUCCUUAGUUUUGAUUAAAAGAUUAAAUUACCUUAGGGAUAACAGCGUAAUUUUUUUAAAGAGUUCAAAUCGAAAAAAAAGAUUGCGACCUCGAUGUUGGAUUAAAGUAAAAAUUUGGUGUAGAAGCUAAAAUUUUUAGGUCUGUUCGACCUUUAAAACUUUACAUGAUCUGAGUUUAAACCGGUGUAAGCCAGGUUGGUUUCUAUCUUAAAAUUUUUUAUAUUUUUUAGUACGAAAGGACCAAAAAUA